rnacentral:rRNA from 1 species
CACGUAGGGCGCAAGCGUUGUCCGGAAUUAUUGGGCGUAAAGAGCUCGUAGGUGGUUUGUUACGUCUGCUGUGAAAACCCAGGGCUUAACCCUGGGCUUGCAGUGGAUACGGGCAGACUAGAGGCAGGUAGGGGAGAAUGGAAUUCCCGGUGUAGCGGUGAAAUGCGCAGAUAUCGGGAGGAACACCGGUGGCGAAGGCGGUUCUCUGGGCCUGACCUGACGCUGAGGAGCGAAAGCGUGGGGAGCGAACAGG